GUAUAACUCGUUCUGCCGAUUUGUGCUACAAUGUAAUUACAGGACCCACCAUUGUGACAUGCUAAAAGAACUAAACUGGCUGUCGCUGGAAUCCAGACGCACCCUUCAUCUUUCCAGCCUUGUGUUUAAGAGCUUUUCUGGAAACUCCCACCCUACCUGAACAAAAUGCUUUCCCCAGCUGUUCCCACUUCCUAUAAGCUCCGAUCCAGUACCAACACUUUACUUAGUCUACCUCAAUACAAAAAGAAAACGGCCCGAUCCUCCUUCUCCUACAGAGCACCGCAAUUGUGGAACGACCUCCCGCACAAUUUAAAAUCAUCCCUAAGCCUAAAGUCCUUUAAGAGAUCCCUCUCUACAUACCUCAAAACAGAAUGCACCUGUCAUGGUUGAUUAUAUAUUUCCUACCUGUUCUAUGUUAAAUUUUGUAUUUAUUGUGUAUUAAUAUUGUUUUUGUAUUUUAUUG